UACGUAGGGUGCAAGCGUUGUCCGGAAUUAUUGGGCGUAAAGAGCUCGUAGGCGGUCUGUCGCGUCUGCUGUGAAAACCUGGGGCUUAACCCCGGGCCUGCAGUGGGUACGGGCAGACUAGAGUGUGGUAGGGGAGACUGGAAUUCCUGGUGUAGCGGUGAAAUGCGCAGAUAUCAGGAGGAACACCGGUGGCGAAGGCGGGUCUCUGGGCCAUAACUGACGCUGAGGAGCGAAAGCGUGGGGAGCGAACAGG
rnacentral:rRNA from 1 species